rnacentral:rRNA from 1 species
CUGACCUUGAAUCAGACGUGAUUACUUCGCCUUAAACCCAU